AGAGUUUGAUCCUGGCUCAGAACGAACGCUGGCGGCGUGCCUAACACAUGCAAGUCGAACGGAGAUAAGGGGCCUGCUCCUUAUUUUAGUGGCGCACGGGUGAGUAACGCGUGGAUAAUCUACCUUGGAAUCUGGGAUAACAUCUCGAAAGGGGUGCUAAUACCGGAUAAGACCACGAGCUCUUCGGAGUUUGCGGUAAAAGGGGGCCUCUGUAUAUGCUUCUGUUUCAAGAUGAGUCCGCGUACCAUUAGCUAGUUGGCAGGGUAAUGGCCUACCAAGGCGACGAUGGUUAGCUGGUCUGAGAGGAUGAUCAGCCACACUGGAACUGAGACACGGUCCAGACUCCUACGGGAGGCAGCAGUGGGGAAUUUUGCGCAAUGGGGGAAACCCUGACGCAGCAACGCCGCGUGAGUGAUGAAGGCCUUCGGGUCGUAAAGCUCUGUCAGAGGGAAAGAAGUGUGGGAGGGUUAAUACCCCUUUCACUUGACGGUACCCUCAAAGGAAGCACCGGCUAACUCCGUGCCAGCAGCCGCGGUAAUA
rnacentral:rRNA from 1 species